UGGGGAAUAUUGGACAAUGGGCGCAAGCCUGAUCCAGCCAUGCCGCGUGGGUGAAGAAGGCCUUCGGGUUGUAAAGCCCUUUUGUCCGGAAAGAAAAGCUUUCGGCUAAUACCCGGAAGUCCUGACGGUACCGGAAGAAUAAGCACCGGCUAACUUCGUGCCAGCAGCCGCGGUAAUACGAAGGGUGCAAGCGUUACUCGGAAUUACUGGGCGUAAAGCGUGCGUAGGUGGUUCGUUAAGUCUGAUGUGAAAGCCCUGGGCUCAACCUGGGAAUUGCAUUGGAUACUGGCGGGCUAGAGUGCGGUAGAGGAUGGCGGAAUUCCCGGUGUAGCAGUGAAAUGCGUAGAGAUCGGGAGGAACAUCCGUGGCGAAGGCGGCCAUCUGGACCAGCACUGACACUGAGGCACGAAAGCGUGGGGAGCAAACA
rnacentral:rRNA from 1 species